AUGGGAUAUACUCUAGAAAACACAAAGAAGGAUGUUUCAGAGCAAACUAAAAGGGUAACCACCACAGAAAACUACCAACACGGAUUUUUAUACAAGGCUCUGUGGGGACCAGGCUGCCUGCUGUGUUGGCAGGAGCUACACAGGUACAAGAGUAAAGACAAGGAGGACCAUGGAUGCUGCUGCAGUGAUCCAGGGAAAGGUGAUGCAGUCCUGGGAUCUCAGGACCUGCUCAGCAUCUUUCACUCAUCCUCCAGUCCCACAUCUGGCUACGGUUCCAGAGUCAACACAAGCAGCAACAGCGGCCCCUAAUCUACUUCAGAAUCGAAAAGGACUUGAAUUUUUUGUUUUGUUUUUUAUUUGUCUUUUUUUAUUUGUCUUGCUUUAGAUUACUUGAACUUUUAGAAUUCUAUUUUACUUUACACUGCAUUUGAAUGUAUAGCUCUUUGAGUAACUUUUGUGUAUGUGGUUGCUGUAGUAUUACAUCAUAUAUACAUAAUAUCACAGUCUAAUGGUGUCAUUAUUUCAUCAAUUCAAGUGAAAUAUAAGCACCUAUCUCUUUAUAAGUCAAUUUACCCCCUCGUUGUCUUGACUUGUUUAUGGUAACCCUGCAUAGGAUAGAUCCCUUCCAAAAUUUAAUUUAGAUGUCAAGACUACUGAUACCAUAUUCACCCCAAGAGAAAAUGAAAUGGCUCAUGACUCACAUAAUGAGGUUUUCUGAGGAGAGUACCAUGGCUUACAAGCAGUGCCAAAAAUGGCUUGAGAGGGCAGAGAAAAUCUUGGGGUGUUUAUGGUGGUUGAGGGUAGGGCCAGAGUGAGGUUCCUGCAUGUUGUUCAAACCCCCCCUGGCUGAAGGAGGGAGAACCCAGGCUUUCUUAUCAGUUUGCCCAAAUGUGAAGCAGAAACAGAGGAUGAGUGAUGAGGCUUCAAAGCUGUCAACCAUCAAACAUCAAAAAAACUGGAUCAAGCUCUAUUACAUCAUUAUUUCCUCUACAUACAUGUAAAGUUUGUCUCUCCAUCUUUUAUGUUAAAUAAAUAUUUUCU
rnacentral:lncRNA from 13 species